GGGAGAGAGCAGGCUACUGGUUUCCUUCAAAAUGGAAUAGGAAACAGAAAACGUGCAUCAUUUCUUCGCACUUGAAUCAGCAACAUGACACAGGACUUUGGCAUCAGACUACUAUCACACCAAAAAAAGAGGCUUCACUUGGAGUGCUGCCACUGGAUGGGGCCUGACUUGUUUAUCCGGAAAGAAGUGACUUCCCUGGGAAGAAGGUUGCAUUUGUGAAAGCUUGUGCAGCAUUUCAAGGCUGCAUUCAGGUACAGGUCUUUGAAGAGUUUGCAUUGCUCUGUGAGUUACCAGAGGACUGCCAUCUUUAAUCCAAUUCAGACAGCAAUUCACCAGGCUUUGCAUGUGCUCAGGCCUGUUGCUCCUUAUCAGAGGCCCACAUGGAGCUCUCAGUACAGCUGCAGCCCUGGAGAAUUUCCCUGUCUCCUCCUGUUCUCUCUCUCUCCUCCUCCUCCCGCUUCUCUUCCCUGCCUCUCCCCCACCCCUAUACAAACACACACAUACACACACAGACACACAGACACACACACACACACACACACACUACUCCUUGACUCUUUAAUUUUCCUUUUAAGGCAUCAAAAUCAAUUUUGGGACUCUAUUUGGUACAAAGAGUUGAUAUGGAUUUGAUACGGAUAGAGUUGACUGAUCUCUACUCUGGGUUUGAAGAUGUUGCUGCAAAUGGAAAGGAAAUAAUCCCGGGCUAUUGUGACAGAUGACAUGGUGUAGAGGGAAGAGCGCAGGACUGAAGGUGGAGAAUCACUUGUUUAUGCAACACAUAUUUCCUGAACAUCAAAUACAAGGAUAAAGCCAUGAAGGAAACAGAGCCCUGUUUCUGCAGAACACACGUUCUGGUUGGAGAAGACAAGUAGCGAAUACACCAACAAAUAAGAGAAUAUUUGACGAUGUUGAGUGUUUUAUGAAGGGGAUAAAGAGUGACUGCAGGGCUCAGAAGGAAGCGAUUAUUUUAAGUAGGGAAGGUCUUUUGUAAGAAGGUGCUAUUUAAAUUGAGACUUUAAAGGUGUGCAACUUUGGAUAAAUUGGAAACAAGAAGGGAAGUGCAUUCUGUGGGAUCUAGUAAGAGCAGAGAGUGAUGACCAACUCCAGACCCCAAAGAGAAAGGAGAGUGAGGCUAUUGGCACUUGGAGGCAGAGAAAGCCAUGUGUAGAGGGCGGCCCGACUGAGCUAAAACCUUCAGUCUGUUGGUCUUGAGCUAUUUGAGGGUCUAUUAUGUGCAGGAUUAGUCUCGGCACUAUCGAGGAUCACAAAAGCCUGUUAGUUAUGGAGUCUUCCAGCAAUAGGCUUACAGUCAAGAAUGGGAAACAACACAUAUGCACGUAAUUUGAUUGAAAUGUAGGAAGUCUUAAGGAUGAUAGGAGGAGUUCAGAUAAAGACUAGAAAGUUCUCAGGUGCCAGAUUGCUUCCAGCCAACAGAUCAGAGGAACUGCCAUAGAGGAGGUGGCUGUGUGUGCCCUGGACCUCAAAGGAGAGAGAUGAUAUUCAGACGUGUAGCAGUGAUGGGCAGAAGCACAUUUUAAGUGGAGGGAAUGAAACAGGAUAAGCAAGACUGGUGAUUGAAAAACUCUGUUUGUCUGUGCAGAAAAGAGAAAUCUUAGUUUGACUGGAGCCUCUGGCACAUGAAAGGGAUUUAGAGUUUGCCGUUUCUGUGAACCUGUCCAUCUUCACCCUCAUGCUGUUCUCCUUUCCUCUUUUAACCUGUAUCUUCUCUCUCUUUGUUUUGUUGACUUUCUCUUUUUUGUUUUCUGUUGUCCUUUUUUAUGAGUGGAGCAUUUCAGUGCAAGAGCAAAUGGGAGUGGAGUGGGGUUCUGUGGAAUGUCAGAAAUGCAUGCUCAACCUAGAUUUCCCAAGCUCUCACUCAGUCUUAUCCCAGGGAUCACUUGACAUGAUGGGAAAUGAUGGGAAAAAAAUAAACAAUGUGAUCCCAGAGCAAAGCUUAUUUACUUUAUCCGUUUAACCCAGUUCUAC
rnacentral:lncRNA from 1 species